UCCUCUCGUGGCCCUCUCCUCUUCCCCAUUAUCGCCACAAAUAGAUCGGAGGUCCUUCGAUCAACCCGCCCCAGCCAGGUCGUGAGCCGCCCCCUCCUCAUCUACGGGAUUCCAGCCGUCGCCUCACUCGCGAGCUUCUCCUCCGCGCCCCAGUACACGCGAACGCUGCCGCCCUUCUCACCGACAGGAUAGGAGCCGCCGGCCUCACCCACGAGAACGCUGCCGCCUGCACUAGAGAGUGUGCCGCCACCGGCCGCAUGUUCGUCGAUCUUGUCAGUACGACCAUGUCGGCAACACCCGAGUAUGAGAGGAACAGGUUGGCAAGGAUUGCGAGGAACACGACAGAAGGUGUAGCGCCUCUUGCAUACAUUAAAAGAAGCAACAAUAAGAAAUGGAAGCUUUGAAAAAGAGCCAGGAAGAGAAGAUGAAAUCCUAUGAAAAGAAGCAGGAGGAAACAGACAACCUUAUCAGUUUUCUCUUACGGAAAUAUGCAACUCAAAACUAAGUAACAUGCCUAAUGGUUCUUGAAGGCCAUCAUUACGUGGUGGUGAUAUCUAGAAAAUAGUUUUCUUUUCUUUAGUUAUGUUACUUUCAUUACAUGGUGGUGAUAUCUAGAACAUACAUAGUCGUUUGCCUUUUUUAAUUAUGUUAGUUUAACAUUCCAAGUUA